GAACCCAAAAUCUCAUGGAUCCUGGUCAGAUUCGUUUCCGCUCUACUACGACAUGAACUCCUAAACAGUGAACAUUUUGUAUAACCUAUCUCCCUUCCCUUGUACUCAACUGACAGGGAGUUAAAUUUGGUACUCAAUUGCAAUAAUUAUCUCAAAUCAGGGCUCUGAAAAAAUUUUGCAGCUGCUUCUAAAACUGAGGUCUUGAGCGAGGCUGUGCUUCACGCAGCCUUGAAAAAGCUGAAACUUUACACAAAGUUUUCCUGGAAUAAAAGGCCAUCUCUUUCAUUAAAAUCUCAAAGGAAUUUAUGACAACUCUCCCCAAAUGUUAUAAAUCACUGCCCUAAAUGGUUUUUAACCUCUUUAUUUUUAUAUUUCUUCUCAAAUUCUCUAUUUUCUAGCUACUAUUGAUCAUAACAAAUUACUCCAAAAUUUAGUGACUUAAAACAACAUUUUAUAGCAUCUCACCGUUUCUUUGAAGCAAGAAUUCAGGAACUGCUCGGAUGGGCACUUCUGGUUUAAGGUCUCUUAGGUGGUUUCAAUGAGACGGUAACUGAAGCACAGAGUGCAGGAGGCUGAGGACCGGCCAGGCAUGUCCGUCUCUGCAAGCAGUCUCAGGGUCCCGCCCUGUGGUUUUCCCACUCGGGUUGGUGUCUUCACAGUACGGUGGCCGCUUACCUGGCUGCUGCAAGCUUUGAGAAUAAAAUAGUACUUCUCUCAAAGCUGUGGUUUCAGUUACCCACAGUCAACCGCAGUCCAAAAAUAUUAAGCAGAACAUCCCGGAAAUAAUUCCUAAGCUUUAGAUUGCCCGUUGUUUGGAGUAGCGUGAAGAAAGUCUCGCGCUGUUUUGCUUUGUCCCGCGAGACGUGAAUCGUCCCACGUGGAUCGUAUUUCGGGACCCUGGGUUAGCAGACCAACGGGAAUGCGUGUUAACGUUUCCUGCAUUCAGAGAACCCUUAUUUUACUUAGUAAUGGCCCAAAAGCGCAAGACUGGUGACGCUGCCAAUUCACAUAUGCCAAAGAAGCUGUGAAGUGCUACCUUUAAAUGAACAGUGGAAUGGUAUGGAAUCCACAGCCAAGAAAGGACAGAAACAAGAGAUUCAUCAAGACACAGAUGCCAUCCCUUAUUUGAAGGAAAUGGAGCUCCUUGAAGAAAAGACUGAUGGCAGGGCUAUUGGGAAAAGUAUAAUAUGGGCCUGAAAUGUCUUGUUGGGAAAAAAUAAGAGCUUAAAAAAAAAAAGAUAUCUCUAUCAAAAGGACACAGGAGCCAUUUUGAAGGGGCUCCCACUAGCCAAAUCUAUGAUCAUUCAAGCAUGGAAAAAAAAAACCUAAUAAUAAAUAAACUUAUUGAAUAAAAUAGGAAUUCAUGAGUCAAUACUGGUAACAAAUAGAUAAAUAGGAAGAAGAUGGUUCUUCUUUACCAUAAAAUUCCAACUGAUAAAAUGUGAGGGAAGUGGAAGAAUUUGAAAAUCAAUAUUUGACAAUUGUAAUUUAUUAUACAACAGUCAUCAGUUAUUACAAGAAUUGGUAAUAACAAAUCCAUAUUACUAUUAUGGAUACCAGUGAAUGUCUAUUGAUUGUUUUUCAGUCCUUGACAAGAGUAUUUUUUUUUUAAAGCACAAAUGGAUACUUUUCUGAAAAGAAAACAGUAGAUCAUAGAACUUGUUGGGGUUUUGCUGCUCAACUCUUCACCAUUUCCUCCGUAAUGGUGCCAAUCAAAGGCAGUUAAGUGCUACUCAGGGAAAUAACCACCAGAUGGAAACUGGGUGCUGAUUUAUUAAUUGCUGGGAAAGAGCCCAAAAUCUAUAGUUUCAGAAAUCGUGCCUAGGAUUAGGGCUAUAAAGCUAACUGGUGAUAUAACUAAGAACUAAGAGAAAGAGGGGACUAGACACAAAAGGACUUUUGAUUUCUCCUCUGAUUUUGGAGGCAGUUGAUGGUGAAGGGGCUAAGAAUGGGGGAAAUUGCCACUCAUGUAAAAGUCAUGGAAAAUGAAGUUCCACCCAAAUGAUUUGGGAAGUAUUCUUCCAAAAAAAUGAGAAUGGGACAUCUAAAGCAGAGUCAGACAUCAUCAUCAGCUUCAGCAUUUUCAGGACUGGAAAAUUCCUUGGACCUCCUUAAUGACCUGAAUGACCCCAGACACUAUUUGAGAAUAGACUUUCAGUUUCCAUAUAUAUUCCAUAGAUGCACUUUUAGGAGUGGUAAACAAUAGAGAAGGACUUCCUCCUAAAGCGCUAUUUAUACACUAAAGUACUGGGCAUUCCUCUUG